rnacentral:lncRNA from 1 species
CUGGGUUCCCUUGUUGGCUUGUUGAAGUUUCUGGUUGAUUCAUAUUGGAUUUCAAACAAAUGUUGGGUUCACUCAAGUCUAUUUUUGUGGUUUGUUGUUGCUGCUGAGUUUUCAAUUGUGCUUGGGUUACAGUUUAAAGUAAAUUUUCUAGGUUAUCCUCAAGUUUGCUGGAUUUCUGGACUUAUUUUGGACUGGGUUGUUGCUCUGUUAUUUGAAGCUGUUUGCUAUUACUGUUGUUCUUCACUGCUCGAACUGAUUUCUUCUCCAUCUCGUAUUCUCCCUCAGGUACACAUUCAAGCUUGGGUUGAGGUAGGUUCCCUUGCUUGGAAAAAUGAAAUGGAAUUGAAGUUUUACUUUAGAUCUAUUGUUUGAUUUAUCCUAUUAAUGAAUGAUCUUGUAUAAUUUAGUUAAUUUCCUAAUGCAACUGGAUAUGAACUUGAAAUUGGACUGUAAAUGAGGGACUGCACUGUGAUGGUGUGACAUGUAUUAAUUUGGACGGUUAAUUAGGGUAAUGCUUGUUGAUUAAUUUCAUAAUGACUGAUAAUAAAUGACUGUAUAUUGUGCUGUUAAUUCUAGAUUAAGGAUUAUUAGGUUCACGUGAAGGUUGAUCAGUAUCAUUUUGUUUGGCUUCUAGUUUGUUUGUG